AGGCUGGGCAGGCAGCCAGCGCAGGGAGCUAACGAUGGGUGCAUUGUCGGCUCCAGGAAGUGGUCAGCUGUUCCCUGGCAGGUCUGCAGAGCCGGAGGACCAGCCUGCCUUGCUCGUGGAGGGUAGAGAUAGAAUCUGGGAGCUCAGAACACCAUUUUCCCGGAGCCCAGUGGCUCUGGGCCAGCCCUCGGGCUUCCUUUGGAAGGGAGGGCCCCGUGUACUCCUCCGCUCCUUCCUUGCUUGGCAUUGGCCCUCUCCCUCCUCAGUCUGGCUCUCACCGUCCCCCGGCCCAGCACUUUGCAGCAGAGUGUACACUCUUGGCAGCGAUGUCCAUUAAACCUGCUUCCCAGAAAGCAGCAUGGCUGUACAGGCAGAUUCAGCCAGCACCUUAGUGGGAGAUGGGGCAGUGGGCAUCAGCUCAGGCUUUUCUUGCCCAGGUUCCCUGGGGAGCUGGGUUGGAAGAUAGCCCUAAGCUGCCUUGGCUUCCUGCUUCCUGGAUCAGAAGUGCCCUCAGCUCAGUCAGCAGCCUAGCCGCUGGACAAGGCUGAGACAAGCGCUUUGACCUCCUGGAGUUGGGCUGGGACGAGCCUUUGCCUGGGAGUCUGAUCAAGGCGGUCACUGAGCUGAGAACCUGGGGUAAAGCUCCCUGCUGAGCCUGUUGCCUCAUUUGUUUGAUGGGUGCCAUAGUUCCCUGUAGGAAUGUGGGUACUUUCUAGGCUUCUUCCAAAUAGAUACAAGAAAUUGUGGCUGCCUUUCCCUUCCCGGCCAGGAGUACACUUCAGCAGAGAACUCAGUGAUGCCUGGCAUGGGGAAGAUGCCCAGUGAAUGGUGGUUGCCCCACACGGCUCAGGAAAUGAAGUUUGGGUCACAGCCUGAGGAUGGUGCCUUCCAUCCUUGACCCUGCAAGGACAACCUUUCCUGACAGUCUCCUCCCUGGGUGAAGUAUUGGGACAGUGGCUCUGGACUGGAAAACUGAAGCUUUACCUCUUUGCUCUGGAUUCCCAUCAGGUCUAGAUUGCUGAGGCCCAGCGCCCACAGAGGCAUCUUCCCCUCUAGGGGGUUUGUCCUAUAAGCCCGGACUCCGUCAGCUCCGAGGCACUCCUGCUGGGCCUGGGCCAGAGUGGCUGAUGUGGAACUGCUCCCUCCCCUGCCAGCUUCCUUGGGGUGCAGACAGCCCAGCACAGGCAGGAAGGGCUUUCUGUUUGGCUGGACUGGUGGGGAAGCAAUUAGUGCUUACUUUCUGUUUUGAUUCUUGUAGCUAAUAGGCAGAGUUUGUGAUGUCACGGAAAAGCAGCCUUGGGCCCGCGUGGGUUUGAGGUCUGUCCCUGAUAGUCUGGCCAAUGUGGAAUUGUCUGGAGGUAGGGGUGUAUGCUGACACUACUCCCUGGGUAUGAGGUGGCCAUCUGUUGGCUUUCCAUGCCCCCUUCUGAUAAUACCUCUUUUAAUACCUCUUUUUUCUGUUAAUAACUUCAGGAGAUCACUUCUCCCCUACCCUGUAUCUCUGGGGUUCUGGUGUGGCCAACCCCAAACCCUGGCUUUAGACACUGGCAUGUGUUCCAGGCCUGGAGGCCAAGUCCUGAGACUCUGCCAUGGGACAUCUGCAGCAGUUAUGGGGAAAGAAGCAUUCUUUUUCUGAGGGAGUUGCUGUAUUGAUAGGAUGUAGGCUGGGAACUGCUGGUGGCCAUCCUGUCCUCAACUUGACAAAGCCAACAAAGAGGAAAGAAAAUGAAGAGAUGAGGCCAGGCACCGUGGCUUGUAAUCCCAGCACUUUGGGAGGCCCAGGUGGGCGGAUCACAAGGUCAGGAGAUCGAGACCAUCCUGGCUAACUCAGUGAAACCCCAUCUCUACUAAAAAUACAAAAAAAUUAGCUGGGCAUGGUGGCGGGUGCCUGUAAUCCCAGCUACUUGGGAGGCUGAGGCAGAAGAAUGGCAUGAACCCAGGAGGCGGAGCUUGCAGUGAGCUGAGAUUAUGCCACUGCACUCCAGCCUGGGCGACAGAGCAAGACUCCAUCUCAAAACAAACAAACAAAACAAAGAGAUGGAGAGUAUGGAUCCAGACAUCAGUGAGCCCCUGGAUCCAGCCAUGCCUGAAACCAGCUGCAGCCUGGACUAACCUGAUUUUUAGAGACGGGGUUUCACUGUUAGCCAGGAUGGUCUCGAUCUCCUGACCUCAUGAUCUGCCCCUGCUUCGGCCUCCCAAAGUGCUGGGAUUACAGGCGUGAGCCACGGCGCCCGGCUGUCAGGUCUUACCUUGGCCUUUCCUUCCUGGCUCAAAACCUGUGGGUUCACCUCACAGGUGAGCAACCUCCAGCUUGACCUCAAGUCCUUCUUUUACAAUACGUUCUCAAGGAGACAGAAGCCAAGAGUCUGGGCCCUGCCUCUUCCUUAGCUCCGACCCCAGGCUCACAAAGGAAUUGGAGGCAAGAAUCAACAAUCAAUUUGGAUACCAUCAAGACACCUGAAACCUUAUCAUGAGCCAAAUGCUGAGGAAGAGAUUCCGGGGGGGAUCCCCCAGUUGCAGUCAUGUCAAGACUGAUGCUGAGGAGGACCCCAACUGUCACGAGCAACACCUGUCAAAC
rnacentral:lncRNA from 1 species